rnacentral:tRNA from 1 species
GCUUGCGUAGCUCAAUUGGUAGAGCAGCUGAUUUGUAAUCAGCAGGUCGCGGGUUCGAGUCCCAUCGCAAGCUCCA